UACGUAGGGUGCAAGCGUUGCCCGGAUUUAUUGGGCGUAAAGGGCGCGUAGGCGGCUCUGCACGUUCGUUGUGAAAUCGCCCGGCUCAACUGGGCGGGGUCAGCGGAUACGGCAGAGCUUGAGCAAGCUAGGGGGCAAUGGAAUUCCCGGUGUAGUGGUGGAAUGCGUAGAUAUCGGGAGGAACACCAGUGGCGAAGGCGGUUGCCCUGGGGCUUUGCUGACGCUGAUGCGCGAAAGCGUGGGGAGCGAUCCGG
rnacentral:rRNA from 1 species